AUGACCUACCAGCAUGUGUGUGUGCAUGUGUGUGCGCACAUACGUGUGGUGUGUGUGAGCAUGUGGUGCAUGUGUGUGCGCGCAUACGUGUGUGUGCGUGUGUGUGCACGUGUGUGCGCGCACGUGUGCGUGUCUGUGUGUGCAUGUGCGCGCGCGUGUGUGUCUGUGUGUGCAUGUGCGCGCGCAUGUGUGUGUGUGUGGUGUGUGCAUGUGUGUGCGUGCAUACGUGUGUGUGCAUUGUGUGCGCGCAUACGUGUGUGUGUGCAUGUGUGUGUGUGUGUGUGCAUGUGUGUGCGCGCAUGGGUACAUACGUCCCUGUCCCUUCCAGCACAGGAAUCGAACCCAGGACCUCGCAAAUGCUACGCAGGCCCCGAGCCCGGCCGGCCCGGCCCCUGGAAUUUGCUUCUGAAACGUCCAGGGCGGCUCUUCAGCCUGAGAAAACUGAAGGGGGCUCCUGGGCGUCUGGAGGGGCGGCCUGGGCUCCGGGGCAGGGGCAGCGAGCGUCCGUCCAUCAGUCCGUCCGUCUGUCCGUCCGUCCGUCCCUGGGCAGCCAGGGGCCGGCAGCUUUGCCGCCCUGGCGCCAGCGCUCGCCCAGCCGACCACAGCGAGGCGCGCGCGGCACGCGCUGCGCCCUCCCCGUCCGCCCCGCGCUCCUCCCCGCGCUCCUCCCCGCGCUCCUCCUCUCCGUCCGCCCCGCGCUCCUCCCCGCGCUCCUCCCCGCGCUCCUCCUCUCCGUCCGCCCCGCGCUCCUCCCCGCGCUCCUCCUCCCCGUCCUCCUCCGCCCCGCGCUCCUCCGCGCGCUCCUCUCUCCCGUCCGCCCCGCGCUCCUCCCCGCGCUCCUCCUCCGUCCUCUCCAUCCUCCCCGCGCUCCUCCUCCGAGAGCCCCUGCCCCGAAGCCCUGCCAGCCCCGCCCGCUCCGUGUUCUCGCGAGAGGCGCCGCCUCCGGCGCGCUCGCAGCGGCCCCUCCCACGGGCGGGUUCCGUAUUGGGUAAGAUCCCGGCGGGGCGGGGCGGGGCGGUCGGACGGGGCGGGGCCGUGGGCGCGGGCGGGACGGGGCGUUGUUCUCGCGAGACUUCCGCGAGAGGCUCCGGUCGUUGCCGGGAGGAGCGCGGCGGCCGGAGCCAGCCCACGGGAGCCCGGGCGGGCGGGCGGCGCUGCAGCGCUGCGAGCGGGAGUCGUGCGGCGUCGGCGCGGCGCGGCUGCAGCGCAGCGGCGGGAGCAGCCUCGAGCCGCACAGCCGGCUCCCGCGCGUGCCCGCGGCUCUGA
rnacentral:lncRNA from 1 species